rnacentral:rRNA from 1 species
CAGAGGUCCCAAGCGUUGUUCGGAUUCACUGGGCGUAAAGGGUGCGUAGGCGGUCGGGUAAGUCUGAUGUGAAAUCUCUGGGCUCAACCCAGAAAUGGCAUUGGAUACUAUUCGGCUUGAGGUCUGGAGGGGGACUGGAAUUCUCGGUGUAGCAGUGAAAUGCGUAGAUAUCGAGAGGAACACCAGUGGCGAAGGCGAGUCCCUGGACAGGUCCUGACGCUGAGGCACGAAAGCUAGGGGAGCAAACAGGAUUAGAUACCCUGGUAGUCCUAGCCGUAAACGGUGCUUAUUUGCUGUAAAAGGAAUCGACCCCUUUUGUGGCGUAGCAAACGCGUUAAAUAAGCCGCCUGGGAAGUACGGUCGCAAGAUUA